AUUGAACGCUGGCGGCAGGCCUAACACAUGCAAGUCGAACGGAGUGGCGGACGGGUGAGUAAUGUCUGGGAAACUGCCUGAUGGAGGGGGAUAACUACUGGAAACGGUAGCUAAUACCGCAUACUAUCAGAUGAGCCUAGGUCGGAUUAGCUAGUUGGUGGGGUAAAGACCUACCAAGGCGACGAUCCGUAACUGGUCUGAGAGGAUGAUCAGGCCCCCUGGAACUGUGACACGGUCCAGAAUCCGACGGGAGGCAUCAGUGGGGAAUAUUGGACAAAGGGCGAAAGCCUGAUCCAGCCAUGCCGCGUGUGUGAAGAAGGUCUUCGGAUUGUAAAGCACGUUAAGUUGAGAGGCGUUACCAACAGAAUAAGCACCGACUAACUUCGUGACAGCAGCCGCGGUAAUAC
rnacentral:rRNA from 1 species